CUCGUAGGCGGUUUGUCGCGUCUGCCGUGAAAUCCUGGGGCUUAACUCUGGGCGUGCGGUGGGUACGGGCAGACUAGAGUGCGGUAGGGGAGACUGGAAUUCCUGGUGUAGCGGUGGAAUGCGCAGAUAUCAGGAGGAACACCGGUGGCGAAGGCGGGUCUCUGGGCCGUUACUGACGCUGAGGAGCGAAAGCAUGGGGAGCGAACA
rnacentral:rRNA from 2 species